GGAUGACUCUGGCAAGCCAACAGCUGAAAAAGGGUCGAGUGAAGCUAGGUCAUGUUCUAGAACUCUCUCCGAAUACUAGCGUAUCCGAACUCCCCCCUGAGCUCAUAGGCAGAGAAGUCUGGACCACAGAGUUCAGUAGAGCUCUCCCCCAGGAAGAUUCCAUAGCUACGCCUCUCUCAAUGCUCCAAAAACUCAAGUACUAAUG
rnacentral:lncRNA from 1 species